AUGCAACUUCUAUGUUUGGAACAUGUGUUCUUCCGAGCUGAUCUAUUUUGCCAUUUCCUUUUUUUACAGGUCACCAAUAUAAUGCCUUUGCAUCCACAAGUUUCUAGAGGUGUGUUUGGUCAGCUAAAAAGGAUCUUCUGCUGGAAUAUGUUUCUACCUAAAACGGAAUCUUAUAUUUUGCACUUUUGUCUUUUAUGUAAUGCUUUGACUUAUGAACCUACAAAUUUAUGCAUGUGUACAUGUAGACCUGAUGGAUGUCCUGUUACUGGACUUGUAUGCUUAUGUGUGCACGUAAGCACGCAAGAUGGAUCUUUGUGCUUUUGGCUGUCUUAG
rnacentral:rRNA from 1 species